CUACUACUGAAGUGUCCCAAGCUAGGACGAAACAGCUGUCCAGUAC
rnacentral:hammerhead_ribozyme from 1 species